rnacentral:rRNA from 1 species
GACGAACGCUGGCGGCGUGCCUAAUACAUGCAAGUAGAACGCUGAAGAGAGGAGCUUGCUCUUCUUGGAUGAGUUGCGAACGGGUGAGUAACGCGUAGGUAACCUGCCUUGUAGCGGGGGAUAACUAUUGGAAACGAUAGUUAAUACCGCAUAACAAUGGAUGACACAUGUCAUUUAUUUGAAAGGGGCAAUUGCUCCACUACAAGAUGGACCUGCGUUGUAUUAGCUAGUAGGUGAGGUAAUGGCUCACCUAGGCGACGAUACAUAGCCGACCUGAGAGGGUGAUCGGCCACACUGGGACUGAGACACGGCCCAGACUCCUACGGGAGGCAGCAGUAGGGAAUCUUCGGCAAUGGGGGCAACCCUGACCGAGCAACGCCGCGUGAGUGAAGAAGGUUUUCGGAUCGUAAAGCUCUGUUGUAAGUCAAGAACGGGUGUGAGAGUGGAAAGUUCACACUGUGACGGUAGCUUACCAGAAAGGGACGGCUAACUACGUG